rnacentral:lncRNA from 1 species
CUUUAUUCUUAUUGAUUAGAGGUUUGAAAAAUUUGCAUAUUGAGUUAUCAAAAUUGUCAUCCGAUAAUUUUCAUAAUUAUUGAUUCAUAACACAGUGCCUUUCUAUUCUUCUAUAAAUACAAUCUCAUUCCUUCAUUAUUUCUUACGAAUUCAUUGAAACUCUAGAGAGAGAAACUAUAGAGAGAGUUCUUCUUCUAUAAUCUUGAGUGAAUUUCUUUAGAGUUUAAGAAAACUUUG